rnacentral:rRNA from 1 species
AAAGCUCUUUUGUCAGGGAAGAAACGGUGUGAGCUAAUAUCUCGNGCUAAUGACGGUACCUGAAGAAUAAGCACCGGCUAACUACGUGCCAGCAGCCGCGGUAAUACGUAGGGUGCAAGCGUUAAUCGGAAUUACUGGGCGUAAAGCGUGCGCAGGCGGUUUUGUAAGACUGUCGUGAAAUCCCCGGGCUCAACCUGGGAAUGGCGAUGGUGACUGCAAGGCUAGAGUUUGGCAGAGGGGGGUAGAAUUCCACGUGUAGCAGUGAAAUGCGUAGAUAUGUGGAGGAACACCGAUGGCGAAGGCAGCCCCCUGGGUCAAAACUGACGCUCAUGCACGAAAGCGUGGGGAGCAAACAGGAUUAGAUACCCUGGUAGUCCACGCCCUAAACGAUGUCUACUAGUUGUCGGGUUUUAAUUAACUUGGUAACGC